rnacentral:rRNA from 1 species
AUUGAACGCUGGCGGCAGGCCUAACACAUGCAAGUCGAACGAGUGGCGGACGGGUGAGUAAUGUCUGUGAAACUGCCCGCUGGCGGGGGAUAACUACUGGAAAAGGUAGCUAAUACCGCAUACCAUCGGAUGUGCCCAUAUGGGAUUCGCUAGUAGGUGGGGUAACGGCUCACAUAUUCGACGAUCCCUAGCUGGUCUUAGAGGAUGACCAGCCACACUGGGACUGAGACACGGUCCAGACUCCUACGGGAGGCAGCAGUGGGGAAUAUUGCACAAUGGGCACAAGCCUGAUGCAGCCAUGCCGCGUGUAUGAAGAAGGCCUUCGGGUUGUAAAGUACUUUCAGCGAGGAGGCGUUACUCGCAGAGGAAGCACCGGCUAACUCCGUGCCAGCAGCCGCGGUAAUUC